GGACCCGUAGCCUAGCCAGGAUAGGGCGGCAGCCUCCUAAGCUGCAGAUCCCGGGUUCGAAUCCCGGCGGGUCCG
rnacentral:tRNA from 2 species